UUUUAUUUAAUUUAGAUACAU
rnacentral:piRNA from 1 species